rnacentral:rRNA from 16 species
GGAUGCGAUCAUACCAGCACUAAAGCACCGGAUCCCAUMWCAWCUCCGAAGUUAAGCGUGCUUGGGCGAGAGUAGUACUAGGAUGGGUGACCUCCUGGGAAGUCCUCGUGUUGCAUUCC